rfam:Oryza glumipatula chromosome 2, whole genome shotgun sequence.
AAUAAAUAUAGUUUUGUACGGUCUAUAUUCAACGUUUAACCAUUCGUAUUAUUUGAAAAUUUCUUAUGAUUAGUAUUUUUAUUGUUAUUAGACGAUAAAACAUGAAUAAUACUUUACGUGUGACUAAUUUUUUCUAAUUCUUUUUAUAAAAUUUUUAAAUAAGACGGAUGAUCAGACAUUAGACACGGAUACCAAUAGGCUACGGCUGUA